rnacentral:rRNA from 1 species
UUUCGGUUAUCGAUGGGGAUGCGUUCCAUUAGUUUGUUGGCGGGGUAACGGCCCACCAAGACUACGAUGGAUAGGGGUUCUGAGAGGAAGGUCCCCCACAUUGGAACUGAGACACGGUCCAAACUCCUACGGGAGGCAGCAGUGAGGAAUAUUGGUCAAUGGGCGAGAGCCUGAACCAGCCAAGUAGCGUGAAGGAUGAAGGCUCUAUGGGUCGUAAACUUCUUUUAUAUGGGAAUAAAGUUUUCCACGUGUGGAAUUUUGUAUGUACCAUAUGAAUAAGGAUCGGCUAACUCCGUGCCAGCAGCCGCGGUAAUACGGAGGAUCCGAGCGUUAUCCGGAUUUAUUGGGUUUAAAGGGAGCGUAGGUGGAUUGUUAAGUCAGUUGUGAAAGUUUGCGGCUCAACCGUAAAAUUGCAGUUGAAACUGGCAGUCUUGAGUACAGUAGAGGUGGGCGGAAUUCGUGGUGUAGCGGUGAAAUGCUUAGAUAUCACGAAGAACUCCGAUUGCGAAGGCAGCUCACUAGACUGUCACUGACACUGAUGCUCGAAAGUGUGGGUAUCAAACAGGAUUAGAUACCCUGGUAGUCCACACAGUAAACGAUGAAUACUCGCUGUUUGCGAUAUACAGUAAGCGGCCAAGCGAAAGCAUUAAGUAUUCCACCUGGGGAGUACGCCGGCAACGGUGAAACUCAAAGGAAUUGACGGGGGCCCGCACAAGCGGAGGAACAUGUGGUUUAAUUCGAUGAUACGCGAGGAACCUUACCCGGGCUUAAAUUGCAACAGAAUAUAUUGGAAACAGUAUAGCCGUAAGGCUGUUGUGAAGGUGCUGCAUGGUUGUCGUCAGCUCGUGCCGUGAGGUGUCGGCUUAAGUGCCAUAACGAGCGCAACCCUUAUCUUUAGUUACUAACAGGUCAUGCUGAGGACUCUAGAGAGACUGCCGUCGUAAGAUGUGAGGAAGGUGGGGAUGACGUCAAAUCAGCACGGCCCUUACGUCCGGGGCUACACACGUGUUACAAUGGGGGGUACAGAAGGCGGCUA